CUCGUGCAGCCAGUGCUGAGUUUACCACCUACCAUGCAUCGCUAGCGUGUUUGUACAAUAUUUGGUAAAUAGAAUGGUUGCCGUAGUACCGGAACUUUAUUUUGUUGAAUCCGUCUCGUAAUGUCACGGAUUUUAAAGACAAUAAUGUCGUUGGGUCGUUAUCGACGAUCAGUAUUUUUAAGCGAAGACUUUUUAAUGUAGUUUGUGUGUUUAAUUUGUAGUACAGCCGUAUUCAUAAAAUAUUAUUGUUUUUUAAAAGACGCCUGGUGAUUUCUGUAUCCAUUCCACAAUGGAACGUGAUCCUACAAAGCGGAAGGUGAAACCUACUCCACCAUCAGCUCUAAUAGAUUUUGACCUCUCUGGUGAGAGUUCUGAUGACAGUGAUUUUCGAAUAGAAGACCACUGUGAAGAAUCGGACGACGAUUCGUUGGACUCUGACGAUGGUGGGAAACAAGACGCUGAUGAUAGUAAAUCUGAAGAGGAGUCUGAUGACAGUGACGAGAAUAAAAUUUCUGUAGAAGAACUAUUGCAGCAAGCAGAAUCUCAAAAAAUGAAGGCGAGUGGAGCUGUUGAUCCAGUGAAGAUCCUGAUCUGCUGUGUCUGCCUGGGAGACAGGAGUGAUGCCAACAAUGAGAUAGUGGAGUGUGAUGGUUGUGGAGUAACUGUACAUGAAGGUUGCUAUGGUGUAUCCGAGAAUGACAGUAUCUCCAGUACAGUCAGCUCCUGUUCCACCAUGCCUUGGUUCUGUGAAGCAUGCAGAGCUGGUGUAGAUGACCCAACCUGUGAACUGUGCCCAAAUUUUGGUGGUAUUUUCAAAGAAACAGAUACAGGCAAGUGGGUCCAUCUCGUGUGUGCCUUGUACAUCCCUGGUGUGGCGUUCGGUGAAGUCGAUAAACUCAGUAGUGUGACACUGUUUGAGAUGGCGUACACUAAGUGGGGAGCUCGUGCUUGUUCACUGUGCUCGGACCAGCGCUUCACACGCACAGGAGUUUGUGUGGGCUGUGAUGCCGGUCUCUGUCGCUCCUACUUCCACGUCACUUGUGGUCAAAGAGAGGGUUUGCUGUCUGAAGCCCAUUCAGAAGAAGUGGACCAAGCUGAUCCAUUCUACGCUCACUGCAAACUACACUCUGAUAAAACUCUAGUCAAAAAGCGCAGGCGCAACUGGCUGGCCCUGGAACUAAGGACGGCCCAACGAAAGAAGCAAUACGCUAUGGAAGGUCACAGUAGCUUACCGGAGCAGCUGCGUAUAAAGCGUAAACUGGAAAAGUACAAGCAGAAAUAUUGCAGCAUCAAGUUCACCAGGCCUCCACCAUGGGUGCCUACUCAGAAGAUGGCCCGGCCACUGACUUCUGAUGCUAAUGUGUGCCGCAUGUUGUGGCGCAAAGCAAGUCUCAGUGGUGUUGACACUCAGGCGUGGGCACUUCGCGAGGCUCAGACCGCUGCACUUGCCGACGUCCACCGCAAGUGGCACAUUCCACCAGCUUUCAGUGUGGAGUUCAUCGGCUAUUACCUGGAUAGAAACUACCGCAUAGAGUCAAUGAAACAGCAGCUGUCUGUUCUCCUUGAAGAGAACGCUAAACUCGUGGAAGAACAAAAGGAGGUGCAGUCACAGUAUGAUGAAGCAUUAAAAGAGAACAGUGGUGUAGUUUACAUCACCCAGACUACCAAAGCCACUCUACAGAAGUAUCAUGAUGUCAUCUUGAAAGUGGCACCAAACAAGAAACUACUCAAUUUGGAGUUAUUGGGUAAACCAGUUUUGAAGAGCCACCACCAUCCUCUAGCCUCGCCGUUGGGCAGCGUUCCUACCCUGGCGGCUCUCAAGGCAGGAGUUGGCUUCCCUCUGCGCCAGCAGCGAGAAACAGCUGUGGGGCUCUGUGUGGAGUGUGGUAUCUGCAGCCGAACCAACGAUCAGCAUCUGAUGGCCAAGUGCGAUACCUGUCACCUGCACUAUCAUCUGGGCUGUCUCAACCCUCCUCUCACCCGGAUGCCCAAGAAAACUAAACUGAUGGGCUGGCAGUGUUCGGAGUGUGAUAAGGACUCCAGUGGGUCCGAAGUGGAGUGUGUGGACCCAGAGGCCCCGAGGCAGCUAAGGAAACUCAAGGACAACGGCAAUGGAGAUGUAACACCUCCAGUCAAGUCUGAAGACCCCCCAGAGGUUGAGAAAGAAAAAGAGCGUGAUGAAGCGUUAACAGAUCUAGAGGUCGCCCUUUGUUCUCCAGAACCAGCCCCUGUUGUGAGUGGACGAUCCGGUAAGAAACGGCGUCGGGAGAAACACCAUCGAUACUCACCGUCAGAGCUACCCGGCAGCAACCAGGGAGUGAAGCCGCAUAAACGCAAACGGAAGCAUAAGAGCAUCGAUACACCGGAGGUGGAGGUAGAGGUGGAGCCUAACAGACCGGCCCUCAAGAUAUUCUUCAAGUCGAUCCCCCACCCGACAGGAGAAGGAAGCGCGUACGCGGUGACACCAGGUGGAGCCUACCAAGCUUCUAUAUCUCGCACUGUGGUAACCUCCACUCCUGCCCCCGCCCCCGCACCUGCUCCUAGCCGACCCACCACCCCACGUCCUCCACCAGCCAAACGCCUGAAAGAGGCGGCUGAUGCGGUACUCCUCUGCACCACCUGCAAUCUCAAUGGGACCAAUGCCAACAUUGUCAGGUGUGAUGAGUGCCGGAAAGGGUUUCACUUCCACUGUCUGGAUCCUCCUGUGAAGAAGUCGCCCAAGGUCCGUGGUUACUCUUGGCACUGUGCCGAUUGUGAUCCCACGGAAGCAUAGGCCAGCAACAACUUAACAUAUCGGGCCAGCAACCCAAGAAUUACCUGAUAGAGGAUUUAGACAUAAAAGGAAAGCGAUUCAAGCUAAGAACAUAGUUCUUGUUCGGAUCAUGGAUGCAGAUUUCAAACCAGAAUGAAAAAGUUAUGUUUAUUUACAAUUUAUGAUUUUUGUUUUCAGAUGAAUAAAUUGUAAUAAUUUCACAUUUAUAGUUAUUAGAAAUAUAUUCACAAAUAUGUAAAA